rnacentral:lncRNA from 1 species
GGGAUGCUGAAAGCAGGGCAGGCUCUGGAGCUUCAUUGGCUACUGGCCUGGGGCAAAUUCCAUGACAUCUCAUCUUAAAAUGGACAAGCUGCAAUAAUGCCCACUCAUGGUAAUGCCAUUUGUAGGAGAUUGGUAAGGGUGGUGGGAAAAAUUGCAGAAGAUGCAAACCUUCUUGGAAGGCUGGAAGGUUUUACAAAAGCUUCGGAAAAGGAUUUGGCUGAAGGCAGCCAGAUUCUUUUAUCUGGUGCCUGAAAGCUUACGUUAGAUAACAAGGGGAUAUAAAUAAACUGAUCUAGGUAAGUUAGUUUACUUAGGCCUUGGAACCUCGCCCUUAAGCAUCCACGCACAGAACUACUCUCUCCGGGUCUGGGUGACCAUGUGAAUUGCCCACAAAUGUGUUGACUCAAGGCCUUUGUCAUUAAAUCUAUACUGAAUAAAUGCCCACAGUGCCGGCUUUUCGGGGCUGUGGCUGCUGACUCAUUACAGCACCCUCCUUGGUGUCUGUGGGUGGCCGGGUCCCCUAGCCUGCUCUUUCACUGGAUUCUUGUGUCUGAGUGCAUUUGUUCAUCCGUUGUUCAGCCAUGGUCUGCGGGUCGGACCUGGCAGCCAUUCAUGUGGGGAAGGUCAGAGCAGGUGGUGCUGUGGAAAGCCCAUUGCAUAGUCUCUGACACGGAGUGGGGUGGCCACCAAGAGUUGGUUUAAUCUCCUCUUCAGCUACCAAGGAAGACAGGUGCUUUCCCCACACAGCGCUGCUGAUAGCCACCGACAGUGGAAACUGCAAAUAAAACCUGAGCAUAUGUUUCAAGAUUCUGAUGCAGUAAGAAAUCUAUGAUAAGAAAGCAGCAUUGCCCAAACUUGGAUUAUGAUUUAACAGUAGUUUCUAAGUAGAAACUUUUUUAGAUAUUCUUAGACGUUAGUGUUCAUGAUUGAGGUCUGACCAGUCACCUGGACACAUGGGGUGUGCAGAUAGAGGUUGAGUUCCGGCUUAAAAAUAUGUUUUAGUCAAAAUCUGUCAAUGUUUAAAAUAAAUGUGCCAGUUAUCCCAGCAGGUAUUUUUCCUCCUACUUGUUAGGCAUCCCUCUCUUCCAUUUCUUUUUCUCCCCUGACUUAGCUUUGUGGCUUAUUUAGAGGGAACUUUUGUUUUUCUUUCAAAUAAAACAGUUACCUGCUUU